AUUGAACGCUGGCGGCAGGCCUAACACAUGCAAGUCGAGCGAGCGGCGGACGGGAGAGUAAUGCCUGGGAAUUGCCCAGUCGGGGGGUAUAACCGUUGAAAACGACUGCUAAGACCGCAUACGCGUGGAUUGCCAAGGUGGUAUUCGCUGGUUGGUGAGGUAAUGGCUCACCAAGGCGAUGAGCCCUAGCUGGUCGGAGAGGAUGAUCAGCCACACUGGAAAGGAGACACGGUCCAGACUCCUACGGGCGGCAGCAGUGGGUAAUAUUGCACAAUGGGGGAAACCCUGAUGCAGCCAUGCCGAGUGUGUGAAGAAGGCCUUCGGGUUGUAAAGUACUUUCAGCGAGGAGGCGUUACUCGCAGAAGAAGCACCGGCUAACUCCGUGCCAGCAGCCGCGGUAAUUC
rnacentral:rRNA from 1 species